AUUGAACGCUGGCGGCAGGCUUAACACAUGCAAGUCGAGCGGUAGCACAGGGGAGCUUGCUCCCUGGGUGACGAGCGGCGGACGGGUGAGUAAUGUCUGGGAAACUGCCUGAUGGAGGGGGAUAACUACUGGAAACGGUAGCUAAUACCGCAUAACGUCGCAAGACCAAAGAGGGAGACCUUCGGGCCUCUUGCCAUCAGAUGUGCCCAGAUGGGAUUAGCUAGUAGGUGGGGUAAUGGCUCACCUAGGCGACGAUCCCUAGCUGGUCUGAGAGGAUGACCAGCCACACUGGAACUGAGACACGGUCCAGACUCCUACGGGAGGCAGCAGUGGGGAAUAUUGCACAAUGGGCGCAAGCCUGAUGCAGCCAUGCCGCGUGUGUGAAGAAGGCCUUCGGGUUGUAAAGCACUUUCAGCGAGGAGGAAGGUGGUGAGCUUAAUACGUUCAUCAAUUGACGUUACUCGCAGAAGAAGCACCGGCUAACUCCGUG
rnacentral:rRNA from 1 species